rnacentral:rRNA from 1 species
AGUGAACGCUGGCGGUAGGCCUAACACAUGCAAGUCGAACGGCAGCACAGUAAGAGCUUGCUCUUACGGGUGGCGAGUGGCGGACGGGUGAGGAAUCCAUCGGACUCUACUUUUUCGUGGGGGAUAACGUAGGGAAACUUACGCUAAUACCGCAUACGACCUACGGGUGAAAGCAGGAGAUCUUCGGACCUUGCGCGAUUGAAUGAGCCGAUGUCGGAUUAGCUAGUUGGCGGGGUAAAGGCCCACCAAGGCGACGAUCCGUAGCUGGUCUGAGAGGAUGAGCAGCCACACUGGAACUGAGACACGGUCCAGACUCCUACGGGAGGCAGCAGUGGGGAAUAUUGGACAAUGGGCGCAAGCCUGAUCCAGCCAUACCGCGUGGGUGAAGAAGGCCUUCGGGUUGUAAAGCCCUUUUGUUGGGAAAGAAAAGCAGCAGGUUAAUACCCCGCUGUUCUGACGGUACCCAAAGAAGAAGCACCGGCUAACUUCGUG